CCCAGACUCCUACGGGAGGCAGCAGUGGGGGAUAUUGGACAAUGGGGGGAACCCUGAUCCAGCGACGCCGCGUGAGUGAAGAAGUAUCUCGGUAUGUAAAGCUCUAUCAGCGGGGAAGAAGAAAUGACGGUACCUGAGUAAGAAGCCCCGGCUAACUACGAGCCAGCAGCCGCGGUAAUACGUAGGGGGCAAGCGUUAUCCGGAUUUACUGGGUGUAAAGGGAGCGUAGGCGGUUUAGCAAGUCAGAAGUGAAAGCCCGGGGCUCAACUCCGGGACUGCUUUUGAAACUGUUGAACUAGAUUGCAGGAGAGGUAAGUGGAAUUCCUAGUGUAGCGGUGAAAUGCGUAGAUAUUAGGAGGAACACCAGUGGCGAAGGCGGCUUACUGGACUGUAAAUGACGCUGAGGCUCGAAAGCGUGGGGAGCAAACAGGAUUAGAUACCCUGGUA
rnacentral:rRNA from 1 species